rnacentral:rRNA from 1 species
UGGGGAAUUUUGGACAAUGGGCGAAAGCCUGAUCCAGCAAUGCCGCGUGUGUGAAGAAGGCCUUCGGGUUGUAAAGCACUUUUGUCCGGAAAGAAAUCCUUGGCUCUAAUACAGUCGGGGGAUGACGGUACCGGAAGAAUAAGCACCGGCUAACUACGUGCCAGCAGCCGCGGUAAUACGUAGGGUGCAAGCGUUAAUCGGAAUUACUGGGCGUAAAGCGUGCGCAGGCGGUUUGCUAAGACCGAUGUGAAAUCCCCGGGCUCAACCUGGGGACUGCAUUGGUGACUGGCAGGCUAGAGUAUGGCAGGAGGGGGGUAGAAUUCCACGUGUAGCAGUGAAAUGCGUAGAGAUGUGGAGGAAUACCGAUGGCGAAGGCAGCCCCCUGGGCCAAUACUGACGCUCAUGCACGAAA